rnacentral:rRNA from 1 species
AUGGGACUGGUGGUGGUCGUUCCCAUCACCAGUUAUGGGCAACAUGCGGGCAACAUGCCGGAGACGACUAUCUACCGGCGGAUGGACCAGUACACGACGACGCGGACGGUGCCCGGCGUGCUCGUGCUGCGCGCGGACUCGCCCAUCUACUUCACCAACUCCGGUAUCAUGCGGGAGAGGAUCACCUGGUGGAUUGACGACGCGACGACGACGACGAACGGAAUAGUGCCAAGGGCAAGACCGGCGUGCAGUACAUCAUCCUCGACAGGGUGCAGCCAUCAGCAGCAUCGUCAGGAGGGGCAUGCUGGACGAGCUCAAGAAGACCCUGGACAGGAGGAGCAUUCAGUCGCUGUGAUGCUCAUCGCCGCCUACGCCGUCGUCCUCCCGCUCCGCAUCACCGCCGAGGACGCGUCCCUGGGCCGCCUCGCCCUCGCCGGGCCCAACGGCACCGCGCUGGCGUACAACCUCUCCCUCACCGUCGGCCUUUUCAACCCCAACUGGGCCAUGCGCGCCGAGCUCACCGCGCCGCUGGAGUCGGAGCUCAGCUUCGCCGGCGUUCGUUUUGACGGCGCGCGGCUGUCCGACGCGGGACGGAGGAUCGAGAUCCACGAGACCACCAGGUUCCACGUGGAGGCGGGGGCUCAGAGCGCGGAUGCGGCGCUCGGGAGCGCCGUGCUGGCGGAGCUGGUGAAGGAGACCGUGGCGGGCCAGUUCGAGUCGCUGGAGCUGAAGAUCACCGGAAGGCUCAGGUACAGGCCGGUGCACGCCGGCGGGACCAGGAGGCUGGAGGCCAGGUGCCCUCUGAAGCUGCGCCUGGCGCCGCCGGAGGGCACGCACAUGCUUGUGCUGGACAGGGUGAUCAAGUGCCACCGGCUUUAG